rnacentral:rRNA from 1 species
UGGCUCACCAAGGCGACGAUGCGUAGCCGACCUGAGAGGGGUGAUCGGCCACAUUGGGACUGAGACACGGCCCAGACUCCUACGGGAGGCAGCAUG